UGGAAGGGUCUACCUACACACCACAGUCAAGAUUCUAGGGCAUGACGGAGUCACUGAUUGAGAGAGACCUAAGAGGAGGCAAAGAAACCAAAAUAAAUGAAUUUCCAGAAAAUGACAAGCUCUGCCCAGGGGAGAAGUGCUCCACAGCUGUUCUCACUUCAGGUUAAAUAGUGGAGGAGGAGUACCUGCUGUAGAAGAGGGAGGCAAUAUGCCUGAGCCCUGCUGCUACACUUUGAAAUUCACCAUCCCCCUGGUUUGCAGAGGCCAGGCUCCCACGGUGCCAAUGAACUGACUCAAUGACCUGACUGUGUGCAACCGGGAAACUAAAG